UCAAGCCCCAAAAUGUCUUUGAAUAUCGGUUUCCAUCAAUUCACUUCUUCAUGCUGCAACUCAUCCGGCUGCAACAGUGACACUUUCUCUGAUGACCCCCACAAUGGACUUCAAUGUUUUCUUGCACUGAUCCUGAAGAUGAGGUUUGCGAUCAGGCUGUGACCUGCCAGGGCGUUCAAGAUCACUGUCUUAACGACACAGUGACAGCUAGUAAUGGUCGGUCUGUGACACUUCGAGGCUGUGUCUCCAGGAAUAUGUGUGACUCCGGUU